GGAUUUUAAUCUCCACCUGGCUCAGAUGUUCAGACAGGAAGAAAGAAGGCAGAGAGAAGUUACCUUCUGUCUUAGGAUAUCUGCAAAGUCAGACAUAAGGGUCUGAGUCACUGAGACCUCAGCUACCACUUCAGUUGCUGUAUUCUCCAGGACUACAACCACCACCACCAAUACUUUCACUGCCUUGCCUACCACUGUUAAUCACCGUCACAAGGACCACGCUCACCAUCAGAACACCACCAUCCACAUCUGCCCCGCAGCCGUCAUCAAUCCUACCACUGCUGUCACCGCCAACCCUGUCAACCACUGCCUCCAUCAGUGCCACUCACCACAUCUCCAGUGCCAUCCCCAAUAACACCAUCACCCCCACCACUGACAUAUCCUGGCUGCCACUAUCAAUGUCACCACCACCACCACCAUCUCGACCACACUUCCUCUCCUAUUACCACCAAGUGGCUCAUUCAAUACUUUAUUUUAGUAUUUCAAAGCACGUUAAUAUAUUCAGUUAAUUCUUACAACAUUCCCAAGAGCCAGUCAUUAUU